UGGGUGAGAGAUGGGCAUGCGUUCUAUUAGUUAGUUGGAGUGGUAACGGCACCCCAAGACCGCGAUAGAUAGGGGCCCUGAGAGGGGGAUCCCCCACACUGGUACUGAGACACGGACCAG
rnacentral:rRNA from 1 species